CUUAUCUAGAAGAGAACCGCUUAGUUUAUUUACGGCUAGUUUAUUUGGACAAGCUUUAAAAAAGGCAAGGAAUGUUCAACGUAGAUAAAUCCCGGAAAUUUGAACAAGUGAAUCGCAACUGGUGACUGUUGUUCAUCUCAGAGCUCAGCAGUGAUACAUCAUGACACCGUCAUUAGUCUGCUGUUUGUGUGUUGUGUUGAAGCCCAGAGCAGCAGGAGAGAGCAGACUCCCCUGGACCCAGCUGUGUCCCAUUGAAGAUUGACCGCUCUAUGGGUCGACCUCCUGAACCAAAAGAUCGGCACAGCUCAGGAGAGGAGAGCCUAGAACAGCAGGAGAGAGCAGACUCCCCUGGACCGAGCUGUGUCUCCAUGAGUAGCGACUGGUCUAUGGAAAGACCUGCUAGGUUUGGAGAAGGAAAUCAGCCUACUGAGACAAGAAGACUCCAGGAGGAGAGAGCAGACCCCCCUGGACCCAGCGGUGUCUCCAUGAAGGGUGAAUGGUCUAUGGAACAACCUGCUAGGUUUGGAGACGGAAAUCAUCCUACUGA